AGCGAACGCUGGCGGCAGGCUUAACACAUGCAAGUCGAGCGGGCAUCUUCGGGUGUCAGCGGCGGACGGUGAGUAACGCGUGGGAACGUGCCUUCUGGUUCGGAAUAACUCAGGGAAACUUGAGCUAAUACCGGAUACGCCCUUUUGGGGAAAGGUUUACUGCCGGAAGAUCGGCCCGCGUCUGAUUAGCUAGUUGGUGGGGUAACGGCCUACCAAGGCGACGAUCAGUAGCUGGUCUGAGAGGAUGAUCAGCCACACUGGGACUGAGACACGGCCCAGACUCCUACGGGAGGCAGCAGUGGGGAAUAUUGGACAAUGGGGGCAACCCUGAUCCAGCCAUGCCGCGUGAGUGAUGAAGGCCUUAGGGUUGUAAAGCUCUUUUAUCCGGGACGAUAAUGACGGUACCGGAGGAAUAAGCCCCGGCUAACUUCGUG
rnacentral:rRNA from 1 species